GACGUAGGGCGCGAGCGUUGUCCGGAUUUAUUGGGCGUAAAGAGCUCGUAGGCGGCUUGUCGCGUCGUCCGUGAAAACCUGCAGCUCAACUGCAGGCUUGCGGUCGAUACGGGCAGGCUGGAGUUCGGUAGGGGAGACUGGAAUUCCUGGUGUAGCGGUGAAAUGCGCAGAUAUCAGGAGGAACACCGGUGGCGAAGGCGGUUCUCUGGGCCUUACCUGACGUUGAGGAGCGAAAGCGUGGGGAGCGAACAGG
rnacentral:rRNA from 1 species